CAUCCACAUACAGCACAAUGGCAUCAAGAAGGGUUCAAUUGGUUUCACUCAUCCUCAUGACUCUUCUUCUUUCUGGAUAUUCUAAUGAGAUUAACGAUGACGAUGAUGGACCGUAUAGCGAUUGCAAGUUUGUUGGUACAUGCACCACAAGACUUGAUUGCAUCCAGCAGUGUGGCUACGUGGACUUGCACAUCAAUAAUGUUUUAUGCGUUCCUGGAUUUAGUGGUCUUCAAUGCUGCUGCAUUGUGCAUGAUCCGAGAUAAAAGAAGCUGUAGAUCCCAGAAAGGUCUGCCUAUUGUGAUGCUUGAAUUUGCAAUCAAUUUGACUAGCAUUUAAUCAAUAAAAAUAUUUUAUUUAAUUUGAA